rnacentral:tRNA from 1 species
CCCCUAGUGGCUCAGUUGGUAAAGAAUCUGCCUGCAAUGCAGGAGACCCAGGUUCGAUCCCUGGGUAGGGAA